GUAAGGGACUGUAGGACGUGGGGCUGUGGAGAAAGAGUGUGGUCAAUCACCUUUAUUGGUCUGUGACCACAUCAACAUCUGGGGAGGAGGUAGUGGCCAAGUGGAGCUCUGUAGCAAACCAUAUUCAGAACAUCCACUGCCACGAAAACACCCUGUUUCCUUCCUGUCUUCACGAGCCUCUGGUUGGUGAUCAGACAAGACACUGGCUCAAACCAAGCACAGCAGCAUGUGAAAAAUUCACAGCAAUUUUGUUGUCACCACGUCUUCUUAAAGACAUGCUCAAAAUUAGUCCGGAAUACCACACCUCUGGAAUCGAGUGUUUCCACAGCCUCAUUCUGAAGUUCUCACCUAAAAAUGUGGUGUUCUCCUUCAAAGGAAUGUUGUGCAGACUACAGCUUGCUGCGAUGCAUUAUAAUGAAAAUGGAGGCAGAUCACAGGCAUCCACUGCAGCUGGUGAUCUGC